GCAAUUGCUGCAGGUAAAGCUGCCUGCAACCUUUGGCAAGAUGGCAAGCAUUGCGCAGGAACCGCAGGCGACUGCAGCUGUUCCCUCCCUCCAUCUUGAGAACGUGUCGUUGGGGGUGGCUACAGUGGUCCUCCAUCAUAAAAAGCGUGAAGACAGGAAAAAUAACUCCCCCCACAAAAAAAACCUAGGUCUUCCCCAACAAACGUUUGAGACUAGCUCCCCUAAAUCUAAAAGAUGGAUAAAACUGCGCGCGCCGCUAGGCGCGCGCCGCUGCCCUGCAAUCUCUGAUAAGCUCCUCCCACAGCUAAUCACCUGCCUCAACAGAAACCCUGCCCCCUCUGACCUUUGCACAGGGAGAGCAGCCAAUCAGUCACAAAGAAACACACACACACAAGAAAACCCUUUUUGCUCCUUCUUCAACUGCUGCCCUGCAAUCUC